UUAAGCCGUUCAUAAAGUGUUGAAUUAUACGUAUUUCUGUUGCUAUAUUAAGAUGCAACAAGUGGAUGUAAAAAACAUCUUGUGAACUCAGCAAGAGGCAGAUUUGAUCAGUCUUUCUCCAAUAGUAUCUGGAUGAAGACUUGAAUUUGCAAACUGAGACUGCAUCCAUCCGCUCCACUAGGCGGCAUCAGCGAGCUGCUCUUUUAGUCUGAACACCUUUGACAACAGCGCCACCAGAUCAUCACAGGUACACCGUGUUACUGGCGUCAAGUUGAGCUCCAGCAGAUGACAGCUCAGUGACAGACUCAUAAUGUCAGUCAAUAGCACAUAUUACAGCCCGACAGCGAACAAGAGCGACACAGAGUGUAGAAAUGGAGAGUAACGAGACUCACCUCAGUGAAGAUACACACGUGUGUCUGUUGUGUUUCUGCUGCACAUCUUUCAUCUUUCUGACGCUCCUCCACACACUCCUCCACAUCCAGGUGGAUUCACAGCUCCAGUAAAGCUCACACACAGGUCUGCAGUCAAACAUCAGUUCCAGCAGGUGUUCAGACAGGAGAUCUGUGGCUCUGUGGUAAGAGCGCUGCCCCAAGGCUUCAGGGGUUGCUGGUAUGAUCCCAGCCAGAACUCUGCGAUAUGA